rnacentral:rRNA from 1 species
GACGAACGCUGGCGGCAGGCCUAACACAUGCAAGUCGAGCGAGCGGCGGACGGGUGAGUAAUGUCUGGGAAACUGCCUGAUGGAGGGGGAUAACUACUGGAAACGGUAGCUAAUACCGCAUACCAUCAGAUGUGCCCAGAUGGGAUUAGCUAGUAGGUGGGGUAACGGCUCACCUAGGCGACGAUCCCUAGCUGGUCUUAGAGGAUGACCAGCCACCCUGGAACUGAGACACGGUCCAGACUCCUACGGUAGGCAGCAUUGGGGAAUAUUGGACAAUGGGCGAAAGCCUGAUCCAGCCAUGCCGCGUGUGUGAAGAAGGUCUUCGGAUUGUAAAGCACUUUAAGUUGGGAGGCGUUACCGACAGAAUAAGCACCGGCUAACUCUGUGCCAGCAGCCGCGGUAAUUC